GUGCUCGCUUCGGCAGCACAUAUACUAAAAUUGGAAUGAUACAGAGAAGAUUAGCAUGGCCCCUGGGCAAAAAGAGGGAGUUGAGAGAAAAUGUUCCCACUGGU